AACGAACGCUGGCGGCAUGCCUAACACAUGCAAGUCGAACGAUGCUUUCGGGCAUAGUGGCGCACGGGUGCGUAACGCGUGGGAAUCUGCCCCUUGGUUCGGAAUAACAGUUAGAAAUGACUGCUAAUACCGGAUGACGACGUAAGUCCAAAGAUUUAUCGCCGAGGGAUGAGCCCGCGUAGGAUUAGCUAGUUGGUGUGGUAAAGGCGCACCAAGGCGACGAUCCUUAGCUGGUCUGAGAGGAUGAUCAGCCACACUGGGACUGAGACACGGCCCAGACUCCUACGGGAGGCAGCAGUGGGGAAUAUUGGACAAUGGGCGAAAGCCUGAUCCAGCAAUGCCGCGUGAGUGAUGAAGGCCUUAGGGUUGUAAAGCUCUUUUACCCGGGAUGAUAAUGACAGUACCGGGAGAAUAAGCUCCGGCUAACUCCGUGCCAGCCGCCGCAGUAA
rnacentral:rRNA from 1 species